rnacentral:rRNA from 1 species
AGUGAACGCUGGCGGCGUGCCUAAUACAUGCAAGUCGAACGGAGAUUAAGUAGCUUUCUAUUUAAUCUUAGUGGCGCACGGGUGAGUAAUAUAUAGCUAACUUGCCCAUUACUAAGGGACAACAGUUGGAAACGACUGCUAAUACCUUAUACUCCGUAUCUAUAUAAGUAGAUACGGGAAAGUUUUUCGGUAAUGGAUAGGGCUAUAUCGUAUCAGCUAUUUGGUAAGGUAAUGGCUUACCAAGGCUAUGACGCGUAACUGGUCUGAGAGGAUGAUCAGUCACAAUGGAACUGAGACACGGUCCAGAAUCGUACGGGAGGCAGCAGUAGGGAAUAUUGAUCAAUGGGGGAAACACUGAAGAAGCAACGGCGCGUGGAGGAUGACAAUUUUCGGAGAGUAAACUCCUUUUCUUGGGAAAGAAUUAUGACGGUACCCAAGGAAUAAGCACCGGCUAACUCCGUG